UGGGGAAUAUUGCACAAUGGGCGAAAGCCUGAUGCAGCAACGCCGCGUGAGGGACGACGGCCUUCGGGUUGUAAACCUCUUUUAGCAAGGAAGAAGCGAAAGUGACGGUACUUGCAGAAAAAGCGCCGGCUAACUACGUGCCAGCAGCCGCGGUAAUACGUAGGGCGCAAGCGUUAUCCGGAAUUAUUGGGCGUAAAGAGCUCGUAGGCGGUUUGUCGCGUCUGCUGUGAAAACCCGAGGCUCAACCUCGGGCCUGCAGUGGGUACGGGCAGACUAGAGUGCGGUAGGGGAGAUUGGAACUCCUGGUGUAGCGGUGGAAUGCGCAGAUAUCAGGAAGAACACCGAUGGCGAAGGCAGAUCUCUGGGCCGUAACUGACGCUGAGGAGCGAAAGGGUGGGGAGCAAACAGGCUUAGAUGACUCUGGUAGUCCACCCCGUAAACGUUGGGAACUAGUUGU
rnacentral:rRNA from 1 species